rnacentral:lncRNA from 1 species
GCGUCGGCGAGGGCGAGAGCACGGUCGUCGGGGGCGCGGUGCGAGGUCAGGAGCGGCGGUGGUGCAGUGACGGGUGGCGCUCGGCAAGGUCAGGAGCGGCGGGCUUCGUCGGAGCUCCGGCGUCGGGUCUCCGCGAGUUGCAGCGGAUUUGGGGAAGGUGAUGAACAGUAUAGGUCAAAUCAACCUUUACUGUUUUUACUUUUCUCCUCUCUCUCUCUCUCUCACGUUCUGACUUUUUUCUUUUUUUUUCUGCAGUUCUUCCUUUUGCACUUU